CAAAAUUUGGGGCCAAAAAUUUCAAAUUUGGGGUGAAAAAUGUUGAUUUUUGGGGUCUAAAAUGUGAAAUUUUUGGGGCAAGGAGCAGGAAAUGGGAUGAAAAAUGGAAUUUGGGGUCAAACUGUGGAAUUUUGGGGUGAAAAAGAAGAAACUGGGGUGAAAAGGAGAAUUUUGAGAGGAAAUUCCUGGAGUUUGAGGUGAGAAAAAAAAAAAUCAGAAUUUUGGGCGAAAUUCACAAAAUUUGGGCCAAAAAAAUGGAAUUUGGGGUGAAACUCUGGGAUUUGGGGUUAAAAAAAAAUUGGAUUUUGGGUCCCAAAAACCAAAGAAAUUUGGGUCAAAAAAGGGAAUUUGGGUGAAAAAAAGGGAAUUUGAGUAAAAAAAAAAAAAUGGAAUUUGAGGAAAUAAGAGCGGAAUUUUGGGGUGAAAACGCUGAGAUUUGGGAAAGGCCCCUGGAAUUUGGGUGGAAAAAAGGAAAUUUUGGGGUCCCAGUUGUGAAUUUGGGGUGACCAACCUCUUGGCCCCGCCCCUCACCUCUGAUUGGUGCCACCCGCGAUGACGUCACCGAGCUCGGACUAAUGGGGAGCGCAGGGUCCUGGAAAGAGGCGGGGCUUCAUCAUUUGGGGGCGGGGCUUCCUCAGUGACCCCAAAACCUCCUGGUUUUACCCCAAAAUCCUCGGAGAGCCCCAAAACCUCCUGAUUUCCCCAAAAUCUUCAGAUUUUGCCCCAAAUCCUUCCUGAAACUCCUCAAAACCUCAAAAUUUCCCUCAAAUCUCCCCCCAAUUCCCCCUAAAAACUCCUGAUUUCCCCAAAAUCUCCUGAUUUCCCCCAAAAUCUCCCCAAACUCCUUCAUUUCACCCCAAAUCUCCUCAAAUCCCCAAAAUCUUCGAAUUUCUCCUCAAAUCUCCUCAGACCUCCUCCAAAUCCAUCAUUUCUCACCCAAACUCCUCAAAUUCCCUCAUUUUCCUCCAAACUCCCUCAUUUCUCACCCAAACUCCUCAAAUCCUCUCAUUUCUCCCCAAAUUCCCCCAUACCUCCCUCAAAUCCUCUCAUUUUCCCCCAAACCCCCUCAUUUCUCACUCAUUUACCCCAAAUCUCCUCAUUUCUCCCCGAAAUUUCCUCAUUUCUCACCCAAACUCCUCAAAUCCCCUCAUUUCUCCCCAAAUCCCCUCACAUCUUCCGCCUUCACCCCCCCAAACUCCUAAAAUCCCCUCAUUUCCCACCCAAACCCCUCAAAUCCCCUCAUUUCACCCCAAAUCCCCUCAUACCUCUCUGAAAUCCCCUCAUUUCCCACCCAAACCCCUCAAAUUCCCUCAUUUUACCCCAAAUCCCCUCAUACCUCNNNNNNNNNNNNNNNNNNNNNNNNNNNNNNNNNNNNNNNNNNNNNNNNNNNNNNNNNNNNNNNNNNNNNNNNNAAAAGUAGAAAAAAUUCGGGGGAAAAUGGGAAAAAUGGGAGGUUAGAGGAAGGGGGGGAGCGUGAGUGGAAAAUGGGGCAAAAAUCGGGGAAAAAGGGAAAAAUAUUGAGGUGUGAGGGGAAAAUUGGGGGGAAAUUGGGAAAAGGGAAAAAAUAUUGAGGUGUGAGGAGGAAAUGGGGGAAAAAAUGGGGGAAAAAGGGAAAAAAUGGGGGUUUGGGGAGGUUGAGGUGAGGGGAGAGAGCGUGAGGGGAAAAUGGGGAAAAAAGGGAAAAUGAGGAAAAAAUGUCGUGGUGUGAGGGGAAAAUGGGGGUAAAAGGAGAGAAAUUGGGGAAAAAAGAGAAAAAAUGGGAGANNANNANAGAGAGAGAGAG
ensembl:lncRNA